rnacentral:rRNA from 1 species
CCUACGGGAGGCAGCAGUGGGGAAUAUUGCACAAUGGGGGAAACCCUGAUGCAGCGACGCCGCGUGAGUGAAGAAGUAUUUCGGUAUGUAAAGCUCUAUCAGCAGGGAAGAAGCAAGACGGUACCUGACUAAGAAGCCCCGGCUAACUACGUACCAGCAGCCGCGGUAAUACGUAGGGGGCAAGCGUUAUCCGGAUUUACUGGGUGUAAAGGGAGCGUAGACGGCUGUGCAAGUCUGAAGUGAAAGCCCAGGGCUCAACCCUGGGACUGCUUUGGAAACUGUGGAGCUAGAGUGCUGGAGAGGUAUGUGGAAUUCCUAGUGUAGCGGUGAAAUGCGUAGAUAUUAGGAGGAACACCAGUGGCGAAGGCGGCUUACUGGACAGUAACUGACGUUGAGGCUCGAAAGCGUGGGGAGCGAACAGGAUUAGAUACCCUAGUAGUC